CCCAGCCCGGCUCUAAAACGAGCCUUCGGAUCAAGAAGGACCAAAGGGCCCCCAUGGAAGGACUUUCCCAGCCGCGGCCGAAAGAGCCUGUCAGCAAGAUGCUGGUCCCUGUCGUGUUUCAGGCCGUUCCCCUGCUUCUCUGCGACCGAAUCCUGCUCUCCCUGCUGGCUGGAUGGGGCCCCCCCAUGGUCCCCCUGGGGGUCCCAGCGGCUUGGCUGGAGGCCGCUCUGCGCCUGCUGGUUCUCUGGGGGGUCAGGGGCCUGCUCUCGUGGGUGGGGCCUCCCCGAUGUCCUCUUCUACGGUGGCUGCUGUCAGCAUCCUGCCCCCUUUGUACCUGUUGGUGAGACACUGGCUUGGGGACCCUCCCCUCCUGGUCUCUUCGGCCGCUUGGUCCUGGUGGCUGGCAAUCUAUGGGGCGGUGGGCUUCUCCCAGCUCCUCUGGGGGAUCCUGGCAGGAGGGCGAAGCACAGAGGAGUCCCGGAAAGAAGACAAGGCCACUUUUUGGAAGAUGCUCAAACGUUUCGGUCCAGACAAGCUGUAUCUCACUGGCGCUUUCUUCUUCCUCAUCCUGGCGGUGAUUGGAGAAACAUUCCUACCCUAUUACACCGGACAUUUGAUUGACAUCCUGGGCACCAAAU